GAUGAACGCUGGCGGCGUGCCUAAUACAUGCAAGUCGAGCGAACAGAUGAGGAGCUUGCUCCUCUGACGUUAGCGGCGGACGGGUGAGUAACACGUGGAUAACCUACCUAUAAGACUGGGAUAACUUCGGGAAACCGGAGCUAAUACCGGAUAAUAUAUUGAACCGCAUGGUUCAAUAGUGAAAGACGGUUUUGCUGUCACUUAUAGAUGGAUCCGCGCCGCAUUAGCUAGUUGGUAAGGUAACGGCUUACCAAGGCAACGAUGCGUAGCCGACCUGAGAGGGUGAUCGGCCACACUGGAACGGAGACACGGUCCAGACUCCUAAGGGAGGCAGCAGUAGGGAAUCUGCCGCAAUGGGCGAAAGCCUGACGGAGCAACGCCGCGUGAGUGAUGAAGGUCUUCGGAUCGUAAAACUCUGUUAUUAGGGAAGAACAAAUGUGUAAGUAACUAUGCACGUCUUGACGGUACCUAAUCAGAAAGCCACGGCUAACUACGUG
rnacentral:rRNA from 1 species